rnacentral:tRNA from 1 species
CAGGGGGUAUUUUAUGUAAAAUAUUAGUUUUGGGGAUUAAUGAAGUGGCUUAGUGCUUUUCCUCUGA